CCUCCCUAUACCGGGGAACUACAGAGGUAAACUUCUGCUAAUACCGCAUAAGCGCACAGUGCCACAUGGCACAGUGUGAAAAACUCCGGUGGUAUACGAUGGACUCGCGUCUGAUUAGCCAUUUGUUGAGUUAACGGCUCACCAAAUCAACGAUCAGUAGCCGGCCUGAGAGGGUGAACGGCCACAUUGGGACUGAGACACGGCCCAGACUCCUACGGGAGGCAGCAGUGGGGAAUAUUGCACAAUGGAGGAAACUCUGAUGCAGCGACGCCGCGUGAGUGAAGAAGUAUUUCGGUAUGUAAAGCUCUAUCAGCAGGGAAGAAAGAAAUGACGGUACCUGAUUAAGAAGCCCCGGCUAACUACGUGCCAGCAGCCGCGGUAAUACGUAGGGGGCAAGCGUUAUCCGGAUUUACUGGGUGUAAAGGGAGCGUAGACGGCGAUGCAAGUCAGAUGUGAAAACCCAUGGCUCAACCAUGGGAUUGCAUUUGAAACUGUGUUGCUAGAGUGCAGGAGAGGUAAGCGGAAUUCCUGGUGUAGCGGUGAAAUGCGUAGAUAUCAGGAGGAACACCGGUGGCGAAGGCGGCUUACUAGACUGUAACUGACGUUGAGGCUCGAAGGCGUGGGUAGCAAACAGGAUUAGAUACCCUGGUAGUCCACGCAGUAAACGAUGAUUACCA
rnacentral:rRNA from 1 species